rnacentral:rRNA from 1 species
GUGGGGAAUCUUGCGCAAUGCGCGAAAGCGUGACGCAGCAACGCCGCGUGCGGGAAGACGGCCUUCGGGUUGUAAACCGCUUUCAGUUGGGACGAAGCUUCGUCGGUUAAUAGCCGGCCGGAGUGACGGUACCUUCACAAGAAGCCCCGGCUAACUACGUGCCAGCAGCCGCGGUAAUACGUAGGGGGCAAGCGUUGUCCGGAAUCAUUGGGCGUAAAGAGCGUGUAGGCGGCCCGAUAAGUCCGCUGUGAAAGUCCAGGGCUCAACCCUGGGAUGCCGGUGGAUACUGUCGGGCUCGAGUCCGGAAGAGGAGUGUGGAAUUCCUGGUGUAGCGGUGAAAUGCGCAGAUAUCAGGAGGAACACCAAUGGCGAAGGCAGCACUCUGGGACGUGACUGACGCUGAGACGCGAAAGCGUGGGGAGCAAACAGGAUUAGAAACCCCAGUAGUCC